ensembl:lncRNA
GGCACAGACAUGGUUGCACAAGGCUGUGGCAGAUUUGCAGUUGUAUGGGAUGAGCAGACCACCAGUGGGAGGAGCAACACUGAGCAUUGGAGCUGCAACCGGACUGGAAAAUGGAGAGGGACAGAGCCAUGGGUGAAGAGACAAAGACAGUGAUGGGUGAAUCAAUGGAUGGUUUAGUGGCCUUAGUGGGGCAGCAGUUCUGACCAGGGAGAGCUGCUGUACAUAGAAUCAUAGAAUGGUUUAGAUUGUAAGAGACCUUAAAGAUCAUUUAGUUAUGCUCUCUCCCGUGGGCUGGCUGCCCCCCAUCAGAUCAGGCUGCCCAGGGCCCAUCCAUGGCGUUGGGCACUUCCAGGGAUAGAGCACCCACACUUCUCUGCGCAGUCUGUGCCAUGUCCUCACAACACAUCCCCUUGCUCUGGUAAUGAGGCCAUUGACUCCAGUUUCACCUGGAAGCCAUAUCCUGCUGUUGGUCACAUGGAGAAACCUCCUGUGCCUCCCCACAUGGCCCAGUGCUUCUGUUCCUCCGCUGAGCAGCCACUUCUGCCCCAUCCCUGGAGGUACCUAUGGCACCCUGAUCUAGUGGUUGGCAACCCCGCCCACGGCAUGGGGCUUGGAGCCUUAUAAUCUCUGAGGUCCCUUCCAACUCAAGCCAUUCUACGAUCCUCUGAUUCUUCCCUCCCCUGCAAGAAGCUCCAGAUCCCACAUACCCUGCUUGGCAUCCCAAACGUGCCAAACUGGCAGGAGCAAAAGCAACUUCUUAUUUUUCUUUUCUGUCCUCAUUCGACUCUGGCCCACGGCCAGUCGCUAUCUUCAUUUAUUGUAAUGAAUUUGUGCCAUUAAUAUGUUGGCUGUGCGGAGCAAUCGCAAAGUAGUACAUUAGGACAAAAGCUAUUGCUCUGGAUGCCAGCGCUUUAUUGCUGCUGCUGAUUUACGGGCUGAUAAGCAACGCCGCGCGUCCUUGAGAUGGGAAAAGGACAGGUAGUGUGGCAGGGACCCGCAUUGUGGCAGGGUGUGGGAUUUCCCAGGCCUCGCACAGCUGGGGGUGGACUUGACGAUUCCAUCUUUUCUCUGGAAAACGUCUUCGCCUGAGUGUGAGCCCGGAGGAACGCCGCAGACAAAGCCAGUGUGAAAGUCCCAGGCGCUUGGAAAGGAGAUUAAAUGCCGUCACAAUACUGUAGGUUUGGGAGCUUCUGUGUGAGCAGCUCAUAAUAGAGCCAUGUCAUCACUUUAUUGCAAAGAUACGAUAAAGACAGGCAUUAUACGGUGUUAACAUUUAACAGCCAUAACUUAACUUUCAAAAGACUUCGCAGACCAAGUCACAGUGAAUUGUUUCUUUCUCCGCGUUUAAUCCCGGGCUCACAUGCUAUAGAGCAAGAGCAUUUACAGCCAGCGCUAAGCACAGACAGCCAGACCUGUCUGCCUGUCAGCUCCGCGAGUAAUCCCCUGAAGAGCAGCCGUACAUAGAGUGAUUUAAAGGGAAAGCAUGGAACAAGGGGAGCACAGACAACACAGAAACCACUGUCAGAAAGAGAUGCCAAGCAGCCCUGUCCCGGGGCUGAUCCUGUGCCCAGCAGUGCCAGUCUCCCUGCAGUGCUUAUGGCUACAGGAUACGACCCGGAGUUGCCAAGUUAUAGGAAGAACUCAAGCACCCGGAGUUUAUAAAAGUGGGAUGACGUGGGAGACGGCCUCUCGAGUCAAAAAGCGACUGCUGUGGAGCUGGGAGGAAAAUCCCCAUGGCUGGAGCAGGGGGAGAGCAUCACGGCUGUGACCCCAGAGCUGGGGUCAGCCCCCGCGCAGGGACAUCCCCCUGGGAAAUGGAGCGGGCAGUGCGGGGCACGGUCACUCCCCCUCUUAAUGAGCCCUGUCAGCUUGCCUUGCAUUUUAGCUAAUUAAUUACUCCACUUCGGAGCUGCGCUUUGAGUUGACACCAGCACCACAGGAAGGAACGGGGGUUGAUUUCAAUCCCCUCUCUGUUUGUUUGCUCUCACAGUCCGGAUCCACACAACAGGAAACGUUGGGUGAGUGCUCAGGGAAAAUAGUCAGCAACGCUAUCUGAGAGCCAUAUCAAAGAGAUUUGGGCCAGAAGUGGACCCAGCUACUGUGAAGCUAUUAGCAGCAUCUCAGGCUUCCUGUGUACAGCGGGUUAGGGGGCGAGCACUGCCCACAUGUUUGCUUGCUGGAAUAGUCACCAGCACUGCCAUGAACUCACAGCCCUGAACAGACCUUCCGAAAGUAGUUCAGAGUGGAAGCAGCAGGAAGGAGGGAUUUUCUGGCCUGGAAUAUUUUCGCCCUUUAAGGGCUACAGUGCAAGAUCUUCCUUGAGUGGGUCUGUUGCUGGCAUGCUGGGAGCAAGCAUGCACCAACGCAUGCAAGAUGGCAAGAUGGGUGAGCGAGGCUGUGCAGAUAGCCUGACCUCACUCAGGGCAGCAACACCAGGACAACAGCAUUGGGAUCAUCACUGGGAAAGCUCAGAAAGCUCCAGCGGAGUGAUGUAUAAGGAAAAGCUGCAGUGCGGGGCAAAUUGUAUCUCCCAGCACCUGGAGCCUGCAGCCUCACUAUGAGGAGGAGGAGGAGGAGGAGGCAGUGAACCCAUCCCAUGGCAAGGCAAUGGGUGAAGUGGGCAUCUGCCUAAAUCCCAUCUGGCCACACACCUCAGAGCUGGAACAUGCAAGAUUUUGUUGAUGGGACCAAUAAUCAGAGCACAGUGUAAUCAGCCCCCUGGGAUGUCUGAGGCAAGCAGAAACUACUGGCUUCUUUCACAAAGCACAAAGCUGAUGUCUGAGUCGGCACGUUUGAUAACAAACGUGGUUUCUCAGAGCCCCUUUGUUAUCAGGUUGUGCUGAGGAGGAGCACACCAGGACACGAUGAUGCUGACAUCCAGAUGAGCACAGAAAUGAUAACAAAGCCCAGCAGGACAGUUUGUUCACUUCUCCCUCCAGCAAGGGCAUUGCUGGUGGUCUUAUCUCUUGCAAAGCACAAACCAGAGCAGCCAGGAGCCUUGCAUAGUUUUCCUGGGCUCCCUGCUGGAAGCACCCCAUGAAUGAGGUGCCCAACCCCAGGGCAUCAGGCCUGCAAGCAUCCCACCCUGAUGGUUGGGAGAAACUGCAGGAGUGGCAGCAAGGACAUUGGGAAGGGAAGUUGGUGAUACAGCAUUUGGGACUGCAGACUUUCAGAAUGCCCAGACCCAAGCUUGAAGUGUGAGGGACUCACAACUCCAUAUCAUGGGUAACCAGAGACCUGGAAGAACAAACCCAGAGAUGGUGCCAUACCCCAAAAUGAUCCCUUCCAAACCUGAGUGACAGACAUCCUCUCUUAUAGGGCCACCCAACUGGGAUAUCACCAUCCUUCCCAGGGCGUUCAUUCCAUCACAAACAGCUUUCAGGCUCUGGUCAUCAGGCAGAUUGUCCAGCUUUGGCAAUUCCAAGCCAUGUUCACAAGACACGGGCUAAUUUCUGAUAAAUUCUCACCAACUGAAUCCAGCUCUGCUAGAUCCUGUUACAAUGAGAGGGGAGAAGAGAUGGCAGUUGGACCACUUGCUGUUGAGGUCUUGGAUGUUGCAAAAGACUUUAUUCUGUCCUAUCUCCGGCCCAGACUGUUUUGCUGAGAUCUCAUCCCAUCCCUUCUCCUCCCUGCACAGAUAUACUCCAGCCAGGCUCCAUUUCAAAUCUCUCCUGGGUUGCUGGUUUCAAAGCUUUCCAAAGAGUAUCAUCAUCCAGGAGACAGAUGUCUAGGACUACUGGGCUUCCUUGGGGGAAAGCAGCACUGAGGAUGGUUUUGUGGUAGCAUCUUUGCACCAAGCCCUGCUUAAAAUGUAGACAGUGAGCUGGAAGCAGCAAAGAAAUGUUUAUGGAAUUGCUUUCACGGGCACUGUGCAUGUGGUGAUAGGUUUAUAAAUUAGGUCAUACCAUUUCCUGAAAUGUAUGUGCAACGUUCUGGAUAUUUAAUGGCAUAAAGACGUAAUUAGCUGCAGCUUUGGAAAACAGCGUCACCUUGAUUUGAAGGAAACUGUUAAAUAAGAUUGGGUUACCAUGCUGAGCAACCCAUUGCAAAGAUACAAUCUGAGGAGGGAACCUGACCCUGCCAGGAUUUCCUCUGCAGUGUGUUUGCAUUGUAUAUGCAUCUAAUCUGGAGCAAAUAUCUACAUUUCUCUGUACCCCAUUCAGACCUAAAGGAAAAAAAAAGUAAGCUGAGUAGCUUCACUGAAUGCUAAAAUAGAAGAAAUUUGUUGCAGGAAGGAAAUUUUAAGGUUAUGAUCUGCAUGGUCCCAGGUGCAUUUUUAAAGCAUCUGAAAUGUUAGAAGUCUCCUAUGUCCUCCAAGAACCUUGAGAAGAGAGAGAAAAUGCUGCAUAGCAAAGGUCUUUAGGAAGAUGGAAUGUGAAAACAGAUUAAAUAUAAGAUUUGGGAUCCCAAUGACCCCUACGUGUUUUUCAGUCAACAGCAAAAUACCGUGAGAGACUUCAGUCUCCUUCAUGUAACCAGCAAACCCCGAGGUAUCCUGAGACACCAAACCACUCUGGGUCUUCUAAACUACCCAACCACUUGUCCCCUUAUCUUUUGACCAACAAGGCUUAGUUUUCAGAGGAAGUGAAUGAGAUAUUUUAACAGGGUAAGCCAAGGCUGGUGGGAGAUGCAGAAUAGAUGCCCAUAUCCUGAGGUCACAUCCCCGUGCUGAAGGUAUGGCUACACACCAUACAGAAGUGUUUUGAGACCUCCAAAAUCAGCAGAAUUGCUAAGUGACAGGGCACCUAGAGCAGACAACUCACUGCAUUGACUGCUGACAAUGAGCUGACAGUGACACUUCCAGCAAAUAAUAAAUGGCUGAGAAAGAGGAAUUUGAAAUGCAAUGCCACUGAUGAGCCAAUGAGCAUGGGCACCUGGAGGGCACGGUCUCUUCUCCAUUUAGGAAUCACAGCUUUGCUUUUGGGCCCUCUUGACCCAAAAAGAAAACCCCAAUUAUGUACUAAUACAGAAACUGAGCAGUCUACUCUGUAGAGAAAUGUGUUGACAAAAAAUAUUGCUUUCAAAAGAAAUGUUCUUUAUUUUUUCAAGAGAGAAGGAAACCAGAUAAUUUUUCAGGGCCAGGAGAAGAAAACAAAAACAAAAACAAAAACACAAUAACAACAUCAGAAUAUCUUUGUUUUGUAAUGCUUGAAAAUAACUCUCAGGAGUCAAGGAGAAUGGUGAUAAAAAUGAGAAAUGUUGAAAAUGGGAAGAAGGGAAGGAAUGAGAGGGCGGGGUGCAGGCUUGUAGGAGGAGCUGCAAUUACUUGACAGAAAAACAGGGGUCUGCUGAAUCUGUAGGGUGUUUCAUUUACAGUCCUUUGGUCUGGAGAAGCACUGAACUUACACUGAACCCCAUCCCCGAGGUGAAACCUUCCCUCUCCCACCUAUGCAGCUCAGGCUCCCAAGAAGCACUGUUUCAUUCCCCCUCUCUCCCCUCCAUCCAUCUCAAUAUCCAUGUUCCCAAGUUGCCUGAUGUGCCGUUUAUGACAGAAAUAACCUGCCUUGGCACUGACACUUGAAUUUCACUUAAGGUUCGUCGCGUUAUUAAUGACAAGAUCAAUAUUGCCAAAGCCGCAGUAAGAGCUCUCGCCAUCCAUCUGCCUCCCACCCUCCCCUCCGAGGCGCUCCAUGUUUUAAUGCUCCAUCUUCUUUCAAGGGUAUGGGCUCAGCAUGGGAAGGAGAAUCUCCCGCUGCCGGGGACGCGGUGCUCAGUCCUUGGCAGCUGCCCCAAUGUAUUUCUCCCGAGCCUUGAAUGCUGAGUGAUGAGGUUUGGGAGAGGGAUAACCCACAGGCUCUGUCUAAUCAGAGAGACUGUGGUGGCCUUGCUGAACCCUCCCGGCACAAUUAGGUAAUCACGUUGGCAGACAAGCCUGAUUCAUGUCGCUUUACCAUCAGCAAAGGGAUAUCUAUCACCCCUGCGACAGACCCGUUAUUGCCGCAAACCACUUCAGCCCAACCGGUUAAAAACCCCUUGUAAAAGCAAAAUAAAAAAAGGGGCUUGGACAUAUUUUAUGGCAAAUUAACUUCUAACGUAUUCUUUCCUGCCUCGUAUUAAGAUCCCACUCUCAGCUGACACCUGCAGCAAGGCCUGUGUUCCUCAUGGCAUGUAAGGGCUCAAGAUCUCUGCAGACACUGUGGGACAUUCAGGACAAUGCUGAUUUGCUCUCACUUCUCUCCAUUGGCUCCAGAGGAACCCAAGCUUUCCAGGAAUGCCAAGGCAAAGGCACCCAAACUCAACCUGAAGCACCCAGCCUGCUGAUACCAAGCUUCUUUAGCUCUGUUCCCACUGGACCACCUAUGGAUGUCGAUGAAGACAACAAGGAGACUUAAUGGAUUCAAACAAGCUUUGGAUGAAUCCUUCAAAGCACCCUGGAAAUUCAGCUGUUUCCCCAGUUCUACUCUGCACAGAUCCACAGGUGGACCAGGAAUGGAUGGAGGAAUUAUAUUAGCCCCAAUGUGCAGUGCAGCACCCCUGCUCCUCAUCCAACAGAUCCUGAAGGGCCGUCCCCAAAUCUGUGGUUUUAUUGCUCUACUGGAAUUGUGCUCUGGACCUGAAGACUUCCAGGCAAAGCACAGAGCUUUUCCAUAGGCUCCAGAGGGCUCCUCAGGGCUGAGCCAUUCCCAGAACCGCCCGUCCCUGACCUCAGACAAGGCUCCAAUUAGGACUUUCAGUUAUUUUUCUUUGAAACAAACACAGGGCAAUGGGGAAAAGCAUCCUUAUCAUCUGGGGAUAUUCACAUUUUUACUACAUUUUCUUUCAGUUCUGAUUUUUUUUUUCCCCAGAACCAGUUAAUCCAUUUCUUUUGGACUUGUACCUUCAAGGCAAGAGCUGCAGCUCAACGUGCGGCCAAGCCAUUCCAGAAAAAUGCCUUCACUACAGAACAUGAACUUCCCAUUAUAGAGGCUGCAUAUGUGCUCUGAUUGAUCCCUAAACUGGCAUUUCAAUUUAUUUCCCACUGGAGGACUCAUUCAUUACAGAGAAAUAAGACUAUUAAAUGCAUGAUAAAGCACAUGCAUCAACAGACGAGAAUGGUGGUUACUUUACUGUACCUAUCUAAACAAUAGCUGAUAAAUAAAGCCAUUCAUGAUCACAUAGGACCUUUUAAAAUGAAUAAGGAAACAGUAAUAUGCUCAUUAUUAAAGCAGCUGAUUAAAAAAAAUAGCUUGCCAGCAUUAACACCACACACACUUUGCUGCUGCAUCCCUGGCUGUGGGACGGAGGCAGCUCGAAGGCACAGAUUGCGAGCAACCUGCCUGCAACCUGCCCAAGUCCCAGCAGCCUGCAGAUGUGUGCAGCUGUGCUGAUGUGGCAGCAGGCUCUUACCUCCAGCAGCAGGGAAAGAUGCCCAAAGGAGCCCAUGCAAGCUGCUUUUUUCAAGCUUCCAUCGCUUUUUCUUUAACUACUGCAUUGACUUUCUACCCAACAGCCUCUGGAGAGAAGCAGAAUAGUGGGGCAGGUGUAGAAUUCUUUAUACAUAUCAUAGAACCACAGAAUGGCUUAGGUUGGAAGGGACCUUAAAGAUCAUCGAGCUCCAACCCCAUGCAUAUGUACGUAUGCAUAUGGUUGGUUUCUUUCUUUUUUUUUUUUACCUGUCAAAAGAGGAAAGAUAGAGAUGGCAAAGAAAGACAAGACAUGGAGAAAGGAAAAUGAAGAGGAAAGGAGAAGUGGAUCUUUAUGAAAAUGAGGAGAUAGGUGUCCAUAAAGGCUCUGAAGCGGGACAUAAGAGCAGUGGCUUUGAAGUUUCUUUGCAAAUCAAACCAGGCUGGUCCUUUCUCUGCCCAUUUUUGAGGACACUGAACAGUCCCACCACUGCUACAACAACCCCAUAAAAAUUUACUGUCAGCUUUUUUUCUCUGUCCUUUUCCCCCACUUCGACCACAUCCUUAGACCUCCAAGAAGCCAAUGCCAGGCUAAGUAGUUGUGACAUAACUCAGCAGGUUUUCCUGAGCUCUAAUUGAAUUAUAAGCCAUCACUUUAUGGCCGCAUGUAAAAAUCCCACAUGUUCCUUGCACAGCAUAGUCAGUUCUUGGACCCAGUGGUGUGGCACUGGGCUGUG